AUAGGAUCUAGACCUGGCAUAUCUUCAUACGACCAUGCAAAAAUAUCCGGAUAUUCCCGGAGGAGCUGGAUGAUCUUCCGUUUAACCCCUUCCUCUAAAGUAGCACCAAUCUUGAUUUCUCGCUUGUUUUCCUCGGUACCUAUGUUGAUAAGCUCAAUCUCUUCUUGG
rfam:Medicago truncatula strain A17 chromosome 5, whole genome shotgun sequence.